AAUAACUAGACCAAUGUAGGAUUGAUUAUUUAGUCAGCAAGUUUAAUACAUAAAAUAACAUAAAUUGGUAAUUAAAGACAGAUUUUCUAUAGAUUUGAAAAAGUAGUUUUUUGUCUCAAUGAAUCAUUAGUACUUGUCCCAACAACUCCAUUUUUAUCCUUAUAAUCUCCAUCUUCCCAAUCACUACCAGGUCAUGCUGUCGUCACUAGCUAGUACCCAACAUCGCCGGAUCUGAAAGCCACUCUGCCGUUAAACGCCGUAAUCCAAGGUUGGCAUGGCAAACCUGACCACCGCUGUUCAGAACUUGUACGUGCACCCCACCAUCGUGACCAAAGAUUGUGAUACACUCAGUUGUAGGGAUAAGAUGUAUGUAUCAAAGAAUUAAAAGAUGAACACUAGAAGAUGCCAAACUAUUAAGAUAACACAUGCACGUAUUUAUAGUUGAAGUCUAGAGACUGAUAAAGCUGUUAAACCAAUCGUUGUAUCCCAAGAAAAUUACAUGAGAUGAAUACAGUCCAACCUUGAAAAGUAUGAUGAGCACUGUAUAUCUAUGUAACUUGCACUGCAUACAGAUGGAUGCAAAGUAGAGGAGUAAACAAUAAUUUAUUAUUGCAUGGGAAAUAAUUAAGCACUAACGAAGAUGCACCAUAUGUUGUUAAACUUUGCCCAUGAGUAAAACAACAUAAACUUGCUAAAUUAAGCAACAAAUUGAAAUUAAUUCAAAUUAGAGGCCAAAUAGAUAAUGACAAACGACAGAAGUUUCUCUAGAAUAAUCAACCUUCUUACUUAUAUUAUAUUAGAAGGAUAAUGAUACAAAAUGAAACACUAUUUAGAACAGUAGACAUCUUAAACCCACAUGAAUAUAUUUUAUAAAUAAGAUAAUGAGGUAUUUUAUACUCUAUUUAAGAGUUAAAGUAGAUAAAUGAACAAUACAUGUAUAAGUAUAGAUAUACCUGGAUCUUGAGUUUAGUAGCUGUACUGUGUAUAACUAAAAGCAAUAGAGUUUUACUUUCUAAUAUUAUAUUUGAUGAUGGCCUGCAAUCCGUACCCUGCAUCGAUGUUUCCUCUAUCAUCAGGCACAGAUUAGUGUACUACGUAGCACAGCCUUUAAACUCAAAAUCAAUAAUUUUUCUUGAAUUGGUGACGGGACGUGGUAGUUAUAAGUUAGCUGUUAUAAUUAAUUUGUGUAAGAAACUUAAUUUGGAGGCGAACGUGCACUACUGCGCUGGUUCCAGAAUGGAAAAGAGAAAUAAAAGUAAAAAAACAACAACGUGGUAAAUAGUACCUGCUUCUGUAUGCAGUGAUGAACAAUGACAAUAAUAUAAGGCAGAGGUAGUAGGUAACAAGAAAGGGUAAGAAAAGUCUAUGAAGAUUUUGAGUAGUAGUAGUAUUGUUUAGCAAGAAAGGGUAAGAAAAAUCGUAUAGGGAGAAAUCAAUAUGGCUGCUGUUUUCACUAGCUAGCAUCUUCUCGGGAGUGGGUUCUUGUUUUUUGCAACUAUUCUUCUUCUUCUUCACCUUUUUAUUGAUACUUGUGCUGCAAUAGGACUACGGAGGCGCAGAAAUAUGAAUGUGCUGCUACUAGUGCUGCUUGCUGCUCAUGGCAGAGCAGAGACCGUUGUUGCUGGCUUAUUAUUAAAUUCAUCACAUAAGAUUCAAUAUCAAGGGUAAAUAUGCCUCUUUAAAUUGUUGUAUACUCAUAGC
rnacentral:lncRNA from 1 species